UACAGAGGGGGCAAGCGUUGUUCGGAAUUACUGGGCGUAAAGGGUUUGUAGGUGGCCCGCUAAGUCACACGUGAAAUCACUCAGCUUAACUGGGGAACUGCGUGUGAGACUGGCAGGCUCGAGGGCAGGAGAGGAACGCGGAAUUCCAGGUGUAGCGGUGAAAUGCGUAGAUAUCUGGAGGAACACCGGUGGCGAAGGCGGCGUUCUGGACUGUCUCUGACACUGAAGAACGAAAGCCAGGGGAGCAAACGGG
rnacentral:rRNA from 1 species